UCACGUCUUACUUCUCUCUAUUUAUAUUCACAAGUCUGCCACUUAACUUUCCACCUCUCACCCCAAUCUCAUCUCAGUUACCCCGCUAGGGUUUUACCCUACUAGGGUUCACUUUCUCUUACUCGCCGCAGCCUUGGCUUCAAAUUAAUAGUAUAACAGUUGAUAUUUGAGGCGAGCGAGUGCAUGGUCUACUAUGUGCUAUUAUUUGCUCUCUUUGGUGGGAGUUUGAGCUAUACAAGUGUAAUUUCCUUGAUUAAAUAUUCUAAAGAAGGCCCCCAAUUUGUGAAGGAUGAUUUGAAUUUUUCCUUCUGCAAUGCUCCCAAGCCAAUCUAAGGGAUAUCAAUGUUUUACUUUUAAUAGAUGAUAUUUUGAGGAUUAGUAAAGCAUGAUCCUGGUUUGUAGCAUGGUUUGUGGUUUGUAGCAUGGUUUGUGGUGUUGCCUUACAAGCGAGAGCCUAUGGACGGAAGAAGUCAUCGGAAUAUAGGGAAAUGAUCAAAUAUUAUGUGACGAGAACUGUUGGAGAGAACAAUUAUAAAGUUUUGAUGAAGUUGAAGGAGGAAGAGUAGUUCAAGCUGCUUCAUGUUGAAAGCAAUUGCAAGAUUGAUUUGCUUUUAGUUUUGAGAAUGAGCAAUUGUUAAUUUCCACUGUAUUUUUUACAUGAUGAAGUUUUAAGAACGAGCAAUUGUUAAUUUCCAUUGUUAUUUUUACAUGAUGAAUAAGAAUACACCAACUCUAACUUUUU